GAAAGUAGAUGGGAACUGGUGUUCCCCGCAGUCUUCAAAAUUGUUGGGCGUAAUGACGAAUUGCGCUGGUGUGUUCGAUUCGCAUCUACUUUCGCCA
rnacentral:tRNA from 1 species